AGUGAACGCUGGCGGUAGGCCUAACACAUGCAAGUCGAACGGCAGCACAGUAAGAGCUUGCUCUUACGGGUGGCGAGUGGCGGACGGGUGAGGAAUACAUCGGAAUCUACUUUUUCGUGGGGGAUAACGUAGGGAAACUUACGCUAAUACCGCAUACGACCUACGGGUGAAAGCAGGGGAUCUUCGGACCUUGCGCGAAUGAAUUAGCCGAUGUCGGAUUAGCUAGUUGGCGGGGUAAAGGCCCACCAAGGCGACGAUCCGUAGCUGGUCUGAGAGGAUGAUCAGCCACACUGGAACUGAGACACGGUCCAGACUCCUACGGGAGGCAGCAGUGGGGAAUAUUGGACAAUGGGCGCAAGCCUGAUCCAGCCAUACCGCGUGGGUGAAGAAGGCCUUCGGGUUGUAAAGCCCUUUUGUUGGGAAAGAAAAGCAGCAGGUUAAUACCCCGCUGUUCUGACGGUACCCAAAGAAUAAGCACCGGCUAACUUCGUG
rnacentral:rRNA from 1 species